AUGAACGCUAGCUACAGGCUUAACACAUGCAAGUCGAGGGGCAGCAUGGUCUUAGCUUGCUAAGGCCGAUGGCGACCGGCGCACGGGUGAGUAACACGUAUCCAACCUGCCGUCUACUCUUGGACAGCCUUCUGAAAGGAAGAUUAAUACAAGAUGGCAUCAUGAGUCCACAUGUUCACAUGAUUAAAGGUAUUCCGGUAGACGAUGGGGAUGCGUUCCAUUAGAUAGUAGGCGGGGUAACGGCCCACCUAGUCUUCGAUGGAUAGGGGUUCUGAGAGGAAGGUCCCCCACAUUGGAACUGAGACACGGUCCAAACUCCUACGGGAGGCAGCAGUGAGGAAUAUUGGUCAAUGGGCGAGAGCCUGAACCAGCCAAGUAGCGUGAAGGAUGACUGCCCUAUGGGUUGUAAACUUCUUUUAUAAAGGAAUAAAGUCGGGUAUGCAUACCCGUUUGCAUGUACUUUAUGAAUAAGGAUCGGCUAACUCCGUGCCAGCAGCCGCGGUAAUACGGAGGAUCCGAGCGUUAUCCGGAUUUAUUGGGUUUAAAGGGAGCGUAGAUGGAUGUUUAAGUCAGUUGUGAAAGUUUGCGGCUCAACCGUAAAAUUGCAGUUGAUACUGGAUAUCUUGAGUGCAGUUGAGGCAGGCGGAAUUCGUGGUGUAGCGGUGAAAUGCUUAGAUAUCACGAAGAACUCCGAUUGCGAAGGCAGCCUGCUAAGCUGCAACUGACAUUGAGGCUCGAAAGUGUGGGUAUCAAACAGGAUUAGAUACCCUGGUAGUCCACACGGUAAACGAUGAAUACUCGCUGUUUGCGAUAUACAGCAAGCGGCCAAGCGAAAGCGUUAAGUAUUCCACCUGGGGAGUACGCCGGCAACGGUGAAACUCAAAGGAAUUGACGGGGGCCCGCACAAGCGGAGGAACAUGUGGUUUAAUUCGAUGAUACGCGAGGAACCUUACCCGGGCUUAAAUUGCAGAUGAAUUACGGUGAAAGCCGUAAGCCGCAAGGCAUCUGUGAAGGUGCUGCAUGGUUGUCUUCAGCUCGUGCCGUGAGGUGUCGGCUUAAGUGCCAUAACGAGCGCAACCCUUGUUGUCAGUUACUAACAGGUCAUGCUGAGGACUCUGACAAGACUGCCAUCGUAAGAUGUGAGGAAGGUGGGGAUGACGUCAAAUCAGCACGGCCCUUACGUCCGGGGCUACACACGUGUUACAAUGGGGGGUACAGAGGGCCGCUACCACGCGAGUGGAUGCCAAUCCCAAAAACCUCUCUCAGUUCGGACUGGAGUCUGCAACCCGACUCCACGAAGCUGGAUUCGCUAGUAAUCGCGCAUCAGCCACGGCGCGGUGAAUACGUUCCCGGGCCUUGUACACACCGCCCGUCAAGCCAUGGGAGCCGGGGGUACCUGAAGUGCGUAACCGCGAGGAGCGCCCUAGGGUAAAACUGGUGACUGGGGCU
rnacentral:rRNA from 1 species